GAUGGGGCAUGAAGAGAUCAAUAAGAGAACUCAUAUUUAGUUUUAUUUUAUUAUGCCAAACAUAGUUACAAACAUGUAGUUAGAGAUCAUGUUUAUUUUAGCAGUACUCUGUUCAUUGUGUUAUUACUUUGGUUGAGACAUAUAUUUGAAGUUAAUGAAGGUUUGAGUUCUUAUAUGUGAUGAUGAAAUAUAUACUUAUGGCACAAUUAUUUUGUAACAACAAUUAAAUUUCUAGCUACAAAACGAAAUUAAAAAGGUGCUUGCCAAAAUGCCCUCGGUUC
rnacentral:lncRNA from 1 species